AGUAAAAGUCGUAACAAGGUUUCCGUAGGUGAACCUGCGGAAGGAUCAUUACCUAGAGUUUGUAGACUUCGGUCUGCUACCUCUUACCCAUGUCUUUUGAGUACCUUCGUUUCCUCGGCGGGUCCGCCCGCCGAUUGGACAACAUUCAAACCCUUUGCAGUUGCAAUCAGCGUCUGAAAAAACAUAAUAGUUACAACUUUCAACAACGGAUCUCUUGGUUCUGGCAUCGAUGAAGAACGCAGCGAAAUGCGAUAAGUAGUGUGAAUUGCAGAAUUCAGUGAAUCAUCGAAUCUUUGAACGCACAUUGCGCCCCUUGGUAUUCCAUGGGGCAUGCCUGUUCGAGCGUCAUUUGUACCUUCAAGCUCUGCUUGGUGUUGGGUGUUUGUCUCGCCUCUGCGUGUAGACUCGCCUUAAAACAAUUGGCAGCCGGCGUAUUGAUUUCGGAGCGCAGUACAUCUCGCGCUUUGCACUCACAACGACGACGUCCAAAAGUACAUUUUUACACUCUUGACCUCGGAUCAGGUAGGGAUACCCGCUGAACUUAAGCAUAUCAAUAAGCGGAGGA
rnacentral:rRNA from 1 species